UGCCAGACUCCUACGGGAGGCAGCAGUGGGGGAUAUUGCACAAUGGGGGGAACCCUGAUGCAGCGACGCCGCGUGGGUGAAGGAGUGUUUCGGCGCGUAAAGCCCUAUCGGCAGGGAAGAAGGAGGACGGUACCUGACUAAGAAGCCCCGACUAACUACGUGCCAGCAGCCGCGGGAAUACGGAGGGGGCAAGCGUUAUCCGGAUUUACUGGGUGUAAAGGGGGCGCAGACGGCAGCGCAAGCCAGGAGUGAAAGCCCGGGGCCCAACCCCGGGACUGCUCUUGGAACUGCGCGGCUGGAGUGCAGGAGGGGCAGGCGGAAUUCCUGGUGUAGCGGUGAAAUGCGUAGAUAUCAGGAGGAACACCGGUGGCGAAGGCGGCCUGCUGGACUGCAACUGACGUUGAGGCCCGAAAGCGUGGGGAGCAAACAGGAUUAGAUACCCUCGUA
rnacentral:rRNA from 1 species